rnacentral:piRNA from 1 species
CAAAAUCUGCCAGGAUCUUCUCAAGGAGUC